CCAGUUAGGAUUAGCUAGUUGGUAAGGUAAUGGCUUACCAAGGCAACGAUCCUUAGCUGGUUUGAGAGGAUGAUCAGCCACACUGGGACUGAGACACGGCCCAGACUCCUACGGGAGGCAGCAGUGGGGAAUAUUGCACAAUGGGGGAGACCCUGAUGCAGCCAUGCCGCGUGUGUGAAGAAGGCCUUCGGGUUGUAAAGCACUUUCAGCAGUGAGGAAGGUCGUGUACUUAAUACGUGCACGGCUUGACGUUAGCUGCAGAAGAAGCACCGGCUAACUCCGUGCCAGCAGCCGCGGUAAUACGGAGGGUGCGAGCGUUAAUCGGAAUUACUGGGCGUAAAGCGCAUGCAGGCGGUUUGUUAAGUCAGAUGUGAAAGCCCGGGGCUCAACCUCGGAACCGCAUUUGAAACUGGCAGGCUAGAGUCUUGUAGAGGGGGGUAGAAUUUCAGGUGUAGCGGUGAAAUGCGUAGAGAUCUGAAGGAAUACCAGUGGCGAAGGCGGCCCCCUGGACAAAGACUGACGCUCAGAUGCGAAAGCGUGGGUAGCAAACAGGAUUAGAUACCCUGGUAGUCCACGCCGUAAACGCUGUCUACUUGGAGGUUGAGGUUUUAGACUUUGGCUUUCGGCGCUAACGCAUUAAGUAGACCGCCCGGGGAGUACGGCCGCAAGGUUAAAACUCAAAUGAAUUGACGGGGGCCCGCACAAGCGGUGGAGCAUGU
rnacentral:rRNA from 1 species